ACCUACAUUUGACCCGUUCCACUACCGACCCGCUCUGACUCGCACCGACCCUCCCAAUAACCAUGCCUAAUCUUAAGUAGCGGUCUAUCAUUUUCCAAUCGUCCAACGAUUCCAGACGUUCCGUACGUUGACGGAACUAUAGAGGGUUCCAAAAUUCCAAUGAUCACGUGACUCAGCAUUUUUUUUAAUUUUUUUUUUUUAAAAAAAAAAUUCGUCCAACAUGUGGGAAAGGUCUCAUUCACGCAAUCCGACCUAUUUCGCGAAAAGCUCUUGCUCUCCUCCCGUCUUACCACAGCGCCGCCCAACCCUCUGCCCUCACCGACAGGCGACAACCCCGGCCAGCCGGACCACAGGUCCCCCACGGCCCCACCGUCACCGUGCCGCAUGCCCACUACGAGAAGCUGAAAGUAUGACACUAAAUUAACUCCAACUAUGAAGGUAUUGGAGGCUGGAUCGAUGUGCUAAUUUCUUCUUGCGAGGUUGUUGAAAAAUCCAGUGUUACAUUGACAUAAUGUGCAUUCUUUCCUUUUUUCUGUUUUCUGAAAUCGAUUUUAGUGAUCAUUGACAAAAAUGCUUUGCAGUUUUAAGUUCAAUUCUUGCUAGACGAUUGAUUAUCUAGCACUCGAAUUCGACUGCUAUACUGUUGGUUAAAUCUGAUCAGUUGGUGUAAGACACAUUUCUUAUGCUUCUUUUGGCAAGAAUGUACUGGAAAGUUGAGCUAA